rnacentral:snRNA from 1 species
GUAGCCUACAUAUAAUAAAAUGGGAACGAUACAGAGAAGAUUAUCAUGGCCCCUGAGCAAGGAGGAUACGCACAUUCCUGAAGCGCUCCAUAUUUUA